GAUGAACGCUGGCGGCGUGCCUAAUACAUGCAAGUCGAGCGAACGGACGAGAAGCUUGCUUCUCUGAUGUUAGCGGCGGACGGGUGAGUAACACGUGGAAACCUACCUAUAAGACUGGGAUAACUUCGGGAAACCGUAGCUAAUACCGGAUAAUAUUUUGAACCGCAUGGUUCAAAAGUGAAAGACGGUCUUGCUGUCACUUAUAGAUGGAUCCGCGCUGCAUUAGCUAGUUGGUAAGGUAACGGCUUACCAAGGCAACGAUGCAUAGCCGACCUGAGAGGGUGAUCGGCCACACUGGAACUGAGACACGGUCCAGACUCCUACGGGAGGCAGCAGUAGGGAAUCUUCCGCAAUGGGCGAAAGCCUGACGGAGCAACGCCGCGUGAGUGAUGAAAGUCUUCGGAUCGUAAAACUCUGUUAUUAGGGAAGAACAUAUGUGUAAGUAACUGUGCACAUCUUGACGGUACCUAAUCAGAAAGCCACGGCUAACUACGUG
rnacentral:rRNA from 1 species